UACGUAGGGUGCGAGCGUUGUCCGGAAUUAUUGGGCGUAAAGAGCGCGCAGGCGGUCGUGCAAGUCGCGUGUGAAAGCCCCCGGCUCAACUGGGGAGGGUCACGCGAUACUGCUCGACUUGAAGGCAGGAGAGGGAAGUGGAAUUCCCGGUGUAGUGGUGAAAUGCGUAGAUAUCGGGAGGAACACCAGUGGCGAAGGCGACUUCCUGGCCUGUUCUUGACGCUGAGGCGCGAAAGCUAGGGUAGCAAACGGG
rnacentral:rRNA from 1 species